AUAUCAGUCCAGUGAGCAUCUCAGACACUUUCUGAUCUUCAGCUCAGCCUCAAUGAGACUCUUUCAUUCACACAAGCUCAAGAACGGCACAAAGGAUGAAGGUUUUCCUCAUGCUCCUCAUGACUCUGGUUUUCACUCAUGGAUUGGCACCCUGCCAGAGGCAUCAGGAUUACAGCGCAUAUAGUAAUUUUACACACAGACAUAUUCUGUCCGAGAAUUUUGAUGUGAACAAUCAAAGGGAUUGGGCAGAUUACCUAAAUAGAACGGCCCUUUGUGAAAGAGUACCUAUACAGUCCUUCCUCCGUGGAGUUGACACCAAUAACAUUAGAAGCAUCUGCAACGGACAAGGCAUCAGAGACAGAGGAAACUUGUGCGUCAGUAAUAGAAGGUUCACAGUGUACAUUGUUGAAAGUGUCUUGAGAAAUAAACAGUGUCAAGUUAUAGGACUUAAUCACGACGAAUAUUAUGUAAUUGUUGCUUGUGAUAUUGCAGGUAACCAGUGUCUCCCUGUACACUAUGAGACUCAAAUUAACAACGAACAACAUGGUCCGACUUGCGGACCAAAUAUCAGCACUGAAAAGUAGAAUUUUUAUCCAAUGAAAACAUUGCUGUGCCACAUGCAUGUUUAAACUGGAUAUAAUUCCAGAAUCUUCUCAAUAAUAGCUUUCUUUGAAGAGUUUAUUUUUAUGAUUAAAUGUGUAGCUUGAAUGUAAUGUAAGUCCCAUUGAAUAAAAGCAUCUGCCAAAUUCA